rnacentral:misc_RNA from 1 species
AACGCAAAUUGCACUUCUUGGUAUUCCGGGAAGUAUGCCUGUUUGAGGGUCGCCAAAUCAACAUCAAAAUUCAUUUGCUUUUGUAAAUGUUUAUCAGAAUUUGAGCCGUCUUUUUUUAUUUUUUUAAUUAAAGUGGCUUAAAAUGUAUUUUUUUGGUAUAUCGAAAAACGUUAUUUUUACGAUCAAAUUGAUUAAAAAAACACGUUUCGAAUGCCGUCUUUUAAUGUAAUACGUUUGACUGUGAUAGUUAAUCAUGGUUUCAUUCGUAUACGAUUUUUUAAUUUUUGACCUCAAAUCAAGUAAGAACACCCGCUGAACUUAA